rnacentral:lncRNA from 1 species
UUCAACUUCUAUUCCCACAAAUACAUGAAUGUCUUUGGCAGUUAACACUCAAAUAUUAUCACUUAAAUCUAUUAGUUAGUCAUGCUCUUUCGAUUACACAACUUAACUAUAAAAAUAGGCAAAUAUUAAGCGUAGGGAAUAUAUGUCAAAACUAAAACAUGCUCUUUUUAUUUUGGCAAGCCUCUUUCGAUUAACUCACUUGUUAUAACUAAUUAGUAUUCGAAUUGCUCUUGCGAUUACAAUCCUUAAUACCCUCAUAAUUAUAUAUCGGUUAAGGGUCAAAUAUAUCCUUGUACUAUUCAAAAUAGGCCAUAUUUAUCCUCCGUUU